rnacentral:rRNA from 1 species
UACGUAGGGGGCAAGCGUUGUCCGGAUUUAUUGGGCGUAAAGAGCGUGUAGGCGGCCAGGUAGGUCGGUUGUGAAAACUCGAGGCUCAACCUCGAGAUGUCGACCGAAACCAUCUGGCUAGAGUCCGGAAGAGGAGAAUGGAAUUCCCGGUGUAGCGGUGAAAUGCGCAGAUAUCAGGAAGAACACCAAUGGCGAAGGCAGCUCUCUGGGACGGUACUGACGCUGAGACGCGAAAGCGUGGGGAGCGAACAGG